GACAGAGGGUGCAAACGUUGUUCGGAAUUACUGGGCGUAAAGCGCGUGUAGGCGGCUUGGCAAGUCGGGUGUGAAAGCCCUGGGCUCAACCUAGGAAGUGCACUCGAAACUGCUUCGCUGGAGUGUCGGAGAGGAAAGCGGAAUUCUCGGUGUAGAGGUGAAAUUCGUAGAUAUCGAGAGGAACAUCGGUGGCGAAGGCGGCUUUCUGGACGAUUACUGAGCUGAGACGCGAAAAGCUAGGGGGAGCAAACAGG
rnacentral:rRNA from 1 species